AUUGAACGCUGGCGGCAGGCCUGACACAUGCAAGUCGAGCGGCAGCGGGAAAGUAGCUUGCUACUUUUGCCGGCGAGCGGCGGACGGGUGAGUAAUGCCUGGGAAAUUGCCCAGUCGAGGGGGAUAACAGUUGGAAACGACUGCUAAUACCGCAUACGCCCUACGGGGGAAAGCAGGGGACCUUCGGGCCUUGCGCGAUUGGAUAUGCCCAGGUGGGAUUAGCUAGUUGGUGAGGUAAUGGCUCACCAAGGCGACGAUCCCUAGCUGGUCUGAGAGGAUGAUCAGCCACACUGGAACUGAGACACGGUCCAGACGCCUACGGGAGGCAGCAGUGGGGAAUAUUGCACAAUGGGGGAAACCCUGAUGCAGCCAUGCCGCGUGUGUGAAGAAGGCCUUCGGGUUGUAAAGCACUUUCAGCGAGGAGGAAAGGUUGAUGCCUAAUACGUAUCAACUGUGACGUUACUCGCAGAAGAAGCACCGGCUAACUCCGUGCCAGCCGCCGCAGUAA
rnacentral:rRNA from 1 species